rnacentral:misc_RNA from 1 species
AAAGUCGUAACAAGGUUUCCGUAGGUGAACCUGCGGAAGGAUCAUUAAAUGGCGUGCGACCCGCAUGCGGACGCGCCCGGGCUGCGGCCUCGGGGAUGGUCGCGUGCGGCUCCUCGCUCUAUACCCUUGCCUAUUUGUAUCCUCUUGUUGUUUCCUCGGCGGGUCCUGACUCGCCGGCGGGAAUUUUAUAAACCUCUUGCAGUAGUAUUCAAUCCUUCUGAUCAAAAGUCUUAAAUCGUUACAACUUUCAACAAUGGAUCUCUUGGUUCUG